rnacentral:misc_RNA from 1 species
GGCCCCAAUAACUUGUCCCAGAGGGGAUGCCCAGGGCUCAGUUGCCUGAGGACAGCAGUGCAGUUGACAUGGAUAUUCUCUUUCCUCUGGACAGUGUUAUCGGUACAGAGCUGUGCCCCAGCCCCAUUCCCCAGAUCAUCCAUUUCGUCCUCUUUGUUGUGUUCAGCCUGGUGAUCCUGAUUAUCUUACGCCUCUACAUUCCCAGGGAGCCAUCCUCAGUGCCUCCCAGAGAGGAGGACAGCGAGAAUGAUCAAGCUGAAGUGGGGGAAUGGCUCAGGAUCGGAAAUAAAUAUAUCACUUUGAAAGAUUACAGAAUUCUCUUGAAAGAACUGGAGAACCUUGAGAUCUACACUUUCCUGUCGAAAAAGUGCCUGAAGAAGCUCUCUAGGGAGGGCAGCUCCCAUCACCUUCCACGCCAAGUCCGCCCAGGGCCAGUGUACAAACCAGCACCUGCUAGGAACCACCGGCCACGUGGGGGGCGUGGGAAAGCUUCUCCCACCAGCUUCCAUGUGUCCCCACGGGCUCCCCUGGCUCCUCUGGCCUCCAUGCCGUCAUCAGUCCCGAAGACCUCCGUAGAGUCCUUGGGGUCUCCAUCAUCCCUGAGCUCCUCCAAGCCACGAGAGCCUCUGUGUCCCCUGAAGCACCCUUCACACCAGCCACCUGCGAGCACCCUAUCACCAAACCCGACCAGCUCCACAGAAUCCUUGGGGGAGACCCCACAUGCAGGCAGGUGGAGGCAGGGGUCCCGCUUUCCUCAGCCUGGAUGUGCCAACGCUGCUGGACGCAUAAGACACCAAAAUCCCAGACACUCCCAUGGACACCGAAUAUCCGACAUCCACGAACAAUUGGGAAUCUCCUGAGGACAACUUGGAGAUGGAGUCUCACUCUGUUGCUCAGGCUGGAGUGCAGUGGCACCAUCUUGGCUCACCACAACCUCCGCCUCCCGGAUUCAAGCCAUUCUC